UGAUACCGCUUCUCCCACACGGCCUUGCAGAGUCUACGUGCUCAACGAUACGUGCUUCUCCCUUCCUGAAGAGCUGUCCUUCUGAACAGCUCGGUGCUCCAGGGAGAACCAGGACUGAGCUCCCCUUCAGUCCUCAAGAAAAGUGUUGUAUCACAGGCUCAAGAAAAAUAACAACAGGAUUCAUGACAAACUGAAAUGAUGCCAAGCAACAAUUAGAAAAGCUUCCUCCUCGUGCAAUAAAGGAGAUCAGUCUGUUCGGGAGCGCCUUCUUCUUGAUGAGAGCCUGUCUCUGGGAAAGGGAUUGAGCUUCAAGGAAUACAUAAAAGAAAGUAGUAAAAAACAUAACACAGCUCGGUGCAGUGCCACCUCGUCCCCCGUGACUGGCAGGACCCUCGCCCAGCA